CCUACGGGUGGCAGCAGUGAGGAAUAUUGGUCAAUGGGCGUAAGCCUGAACCAGCCAAGUCGCGUGAGGGAUGAAGGUUCUAUGGAUCGUAAACCUCUUUUUAAGGGAAUAAAGUGCGGGACCUGUUCCGGUUUGUAUGGUCCCUAUGAAUAAGGAUUCGGCAAACCCGUUCCAGGAGCCGCGGGUAAUAGGAGGAUCCCAGCGGUAACCGGGUUUUUUUGGGUUAAAGGGUGCGGAGGCGGCCUUUUAAGUCAGCGGGGAAAGUUUGUGGGGCAACCAUAGAAUUGCCGUUGAAACUGGGAGGCUUGAGUAUGUUUGAGGCAGGCGGAAUGCGUGGUGUAGCGGUGAAAUGCUUAGAUAUCACGCAGAACCCCGAUUGCGAAGGCAGCCUGCCAAGCCAUGACUGACGCUGAUGCACGAAAGCGUGGGGAUCAAACAGGAUUAGAUACCCGUGUAGUC
rnacentral:rRNA from 1 species